UAGAGAAUCUUGCACAAUGGGCGAAAGCCUGAUGCAGCCACGCCGCGUGGAGGAAGAAGGCCUUCGGGUUGUAAACUCCUUUCAGCAGGGAAGAAGCGCAAGUGACGGUACCUGCAGAAGAAGGUCCGGCCAACUACGUGCCAGCAGCCGCGGUAAUACGUAGGGACCGAGCGUUGUCCGGAAUUAUUGGGCGUAAAGCGCGUGUAGGCGGCCCGUUAAGUCGGCUGUGAAAUCCUGGGGCUCAACCCCAGAACUGCAGUCGAUACUGACGGGCUUGAGGAAGCUAGAGGACAGUGGAAUUCCCGGUGUAGCGGUGGAAUGCGCAGAUAUCGGGAGGAACACCAAUGGCGAAGGCAGCUCUCUGGAGCUUUCCUGACGCUGAGACGCGAAAGCAUGGGUAGCAAACAGGAUUAGAUACCCCCGUAGUCC
rnacentral:rRNA from 1 species